AGGAUGCUGCUUGUUGCAAUUGUGACACCUGGAACUUUCCUGCCACCUUGCAACUAUGAGGAAGACAUUUUCCAAGAAAGGAAUAGCAGAAAGACUCUGAAUGCUCCAAGAGGAUGCCAAACACCUGGAUGGAAAGAUAUUCAAUUGUUCGUAUGUGUUGAAUGAUGUGGAUGUUUAACUUCUGAAGAUGAAACAUAUGUAGAGUGAAGCAAUGUUUUCACAUCUCAGCUAUGCUUUGGUAUUAAAUGGAAACACCAUUAAGCAAAACCAGGAAGAUGUGAAAAACAGAUCACCAAAGAGUAAAGCUUGACAUGGAAAUCACUGGCAAACUGUCCUGCCCAUAGAGCAAUUCACACAUUCAUUUUCUCAAUCAUUCAAAAUGAAUUGAAAAUCUACCAUGUGCAGGACAUUGCAGUAGGUAUGGCUGGGUAGUUAUGAUUCCUGUGUAAAUGUGACUUCAUAGACUGAAAGACAGCCUUUGUCUUCAAGGAAUAUACGUUUAGGGGUGAGCAACUGGAAUAAUAAAAUGUGCACUACAGACCCAAUCUGCUUUUUAUAUGGUUUUCACC